GAUGAACGCUGGCGGCGUGCCUAAUACAUGCAAGUCGAGCGAACGGACGAGAAGCUUGCUUCUCUGAUGUUAGCGGCGGACGGGUGAGUAACACGUGGAUAACCUACCUAUAAGACUGGGAUAACUUCGGGAAACCGUAGCUAAUACCGGAUAAUAUUUUGAACCGCAUGGUUCAAAAGUGAAAGACGGUCUUGCUGUCACUUAUAGAUGGAUCCCCUCUGCAUUAGCUAUUUGGUAAGGUAACGGCUUACCAAGGCAACGAUGCAUAGCCGACCUGAGAGGGUGAUCGGCCACACUGGAACUGAGACACGGUCCAGACUCCUACGGGAGGCAGCAGUAGGGAAUCUUCCGCAAUGGGCGAAAGCCUGACGGAGCAACGCCGCGUGAGUGAUGAAGGUCUUCGGAUCGUAAAACUCUGUUAUUAGGGAAGAACAUAUGUGUAAGUAACUGUGCACAUCUUGACGGUACCUAAUCAGAAAGCCACGGCUAACUACGUG
rnacentral:rRNA from 1 species